rfam:Picea glauca, whole genome shotgun sequence.
GGGUGUGAUCAUACCAGCGUUAAUGCAUUGGAUCUCAUCAGAACUCCGCGGUUAUGCGUGCUUUGGCUAGAGUAGUACUAGGAUGGGUGACCUCCCAGGAAGUCCUAGUGUUGCACCCU